AGCCGCGGUAAUUCCAGCUCCAAUAGCGUAUACUAAAGUUGUUGCGGUUAAAAAGCUCGUAGUUGGAUCUUGGAAUGUGUUCAAGCGGGUCAGCUUCUGGCUGUGCGCUGCUUGACGUGUUCUUCUAUUUGGUUUUGGUGCGGUGCGCUUAACUGCGUGUCGCUCCCGGCCGAAACGUUUACCUUGAAAAAAUUAGAGUGUUCAAAGCAGACCUGUUUGAGUCUGAAUAUUCGUGCAUGGAAUAAUGAAAUAUGAAUUCGGUUCUAUUUUGUUGGUUUUCGGAACUCGAGUUAAUGAUCAAGAGGGACAGACGGGGGCAUUCGUACUCUGCCGUUAGAGGUGAAAUUCUUGGAUCGGCGGAAGACGCGCAACUGCGAAAGCAUUUGCCAAGAAUGUUUUCUUUAAUCAAGAACGAUAGUCGGAGGUUCGAAGACGAUCAGAUACCGUCCUAGUUUCGACUGUAAACUAUGCCAGCUAACGAUCAGACAGAGUUCUCUACGACUUGUCUGGCAGUUUCCGGGAAACCAAAGCGUUUGGGUUCCGGGGGAAGUAUGGUUGCAAAGCUGAAACUUAAAGGAAUUGACGGAAGGGCACCACCAGGAGUGGAGCCUGCGGCUUAAUUUGACUCAACACGGGGAAACUCACCCGGCCCGGACACAGUGAGGAUUGACAGAUUGAGAGUUCUUUCUUGAUUCUGUGGGUGGUGGUGCAUGGCCGUUCUUAGUUGGUGGAGCGAUUUGUCUGGUUAAUUCCGAUAACGAACGAGACUCUGGCAUGUUAAAUAGUCGCGGAAGUGCGUAUGCACUUGCCGAAUUGACUUCUUAGAGGGACUAGUGAUUUUAAUUCACACGAGAUUGAGCAAUAACAGGUCUGUGAUGCCCAA
rnacentral:rRNA from 1 species